UACGUAGGGGGCAAGCGUUGUCCGGAAUCAUUGGGCGUAAAGAGCUCGUAGGCGGUUCAGUAAGUCGGGUGUGAAAGCUCCGAGCUCAACUCGGAGAGGCCACUCGAUACUGCUGUGACUAGAAUCCAGUAGGGGAGUGUGGAAUUCCUGGUGUAGCGGUGAAAUGCGCAGAUAUCAGGAGGAACACCGGCGGCGAAGGCGGCACUCUGGGCUGGUAUUGACGCUGAGGAGCGAAAGUGUGGGUAGCAAACAGG
rnacentral:rRNA from 2 species